CUUCCCUUCACCCAAAAAAACCUUGGAAAUGAAACGUACAAAACAAAUCUCAUACUCCUCAUCAUCCUCAUCAUCCUCAGCAAACACAUAAUAAUCAACACAACAAACAACACACCCACCAUCACCAUCACCAUCACCAUCACCAUCACAGUUUGUUUUUUAGAGAGAGAGAGAGAGAGAGAAAGAGAAAAUCUAGAGAGAGAACUCCCCAAUUUCACCACCUUCUCUAGCUUCUCCUUCAACCGAAAGCCAACUCUAAACUCUAAAAUACAUACAUAUAUAUACAUAUAUCUUUCUUAUUUCCAGGGUUUCGUAAAUUGAUUUGACUGUGUGGAUCACUAGUUCUAUUACAUGGCAUUGUUUCGCAAGUUGUUCUUUCGGAAGCCCCCUGAUGGCCUUCUUGAGAUCUCUGAAAGAGUUUACGUAUUUGAUAGUUGUUUUACAACUGAUGCUUGGGGAGAAGAAGAUUAUAAAGUCUAUGUUGGAGCCAUUAUUGGUCAACUUCGAGAAAACUAUCCUGAUGCUUCAAUCCUGGUGUUCAAUUUCCGUGAGAGCGGGACUGAUAGCCUGAUUGCUAAUGUUUUAUCUGAGUAUGAUAUAACCAUAAUGGACUACCCUCGACACUAUGAGGGUUGCCCGUUGCUCACAAUGGAGGUGAUCCACCAUUUUCUAAGGUCAAGUGAAAGUUGGCUUUCCCUUGGGCAGCAAAAUGUACUUCUAAUGCACUGUGAACGAGGUGGUUGGCCAGUUUUGGCUUUCAUGUUAGCUUCUCUCUUGAUUUAUAGGAAGCAGUAUACAGGGGAGCAGAGGACCUUGGACAUGAUUUAUAAGCAGGCCCCACGUGAGCUUUUGCAUUUGCUGUCACCUUUGAAUCCACUCCCUUCUCAAAUAAGGUAUUUGCAGUAUGUAUCAAGGAGAAAUGUGGCCUCAGAAUGGCCCCCUCUGGAUAGGGCUCUCACCUUGGACUGUGUUAUUAUUAGACUUAUUCCUAACUUUGAUGGGGAGGGUGGUUGCCGCCCAAUAUUUCGAAUAUAUGGACAGGAUCCUUUCCUUGUUUCUGAUCGAACUCCCAAAGUUCUGUUCUCAACUCCAAAAAGGAGCAAAACCGUCCGGCACUACAAGCAGGCAGAAUGUGAACUAGUUAAGAUUGAUAUCAAUUGUCAUAUUCAAGGUGAUGUUGUGCUUGAGUGUAUCAGUUUACAUGAUGACGUGGAACGGGAAGAGAUGGUGUUCCGAGUAAUGUUCAACACAGCUUUCAUCAGGUCAAAUAUUCUAAUUAUUAGUCGUGAUGAAAUCGACAUGUUAUGGGAUGCUAAAGAUCAAUUUCCAAGAGAUUUCAGGGCAGAGGUUCUUUUCUCAGACACAGAUGCUGCCGAUUCUAGAGUUCCCAUAGAUUUGUCUUGUUUUGAGGAGAAGGAUGGCCUUCCAGUGGAGGCAUUUGCUAAAGUUCAGGAGAUCUUUAGCAGUGUUGACUGGUUAGUUCCGAAGACAGAUGCUGCAGUAAAUGUUCUCCACCAAAUAGCUGCAUCAAAUGCUGUCCAAGAAAAGUUAGACACACUCAGAGCAUUUGGAAGUGAUACCGAGAGCUCCACAAACUGGGUCUUAGGUGAUCAGUGUGUGCCCUUGCCUGAAGCUUCUCCACAUGCAGAUGGGGCUAGACAGAAGGCUGAGCCUGAACCUGUGUCAAUUUCACCCUCAACACCACCUCCAUUGCGACCUUAUGCUAGGGAACCAGUUGCUUCUCCUCUAUCUCCAACUCCACUGCCACUUCAUCUUUCAACCUCACAACCUACGCAUGAUUCACAUGGCAAACAGUCUGAGACCUUUCCCGAAGCAGGGCAUUCUUCUUUGGUUCCUCAACCUGCUGUUGAAACUCCGCCUUCAGGAACCAUUUCCAGUAAUUUGUUAUCUACUCAUUCUCCAUCUACAGCCCCUCCAAUUGCUUCAUCAACUCCGCCUCUUCCAGCACUGCCUUUGAAGGAGGAUGUAGCUACUGGAACUAAGCCGCCUCCACCACCUCCACCUCCACCUCCACCUCCAUCUGCAAACCCCCCUCCAACUAUGCCUUUGAAGGAUUCAUCUAUUGACAUUGGGCAGCAAGUAGCCCCAUGUCCUUCCCCAACUCCACCUCCUCCAAGUGAGCCUUUGAAGGAUAAAACUACUGCUAGAACUGGACCCUGUCCACCCCCACCUCCUCCCCCAAAUCUGCCACCGCCGCCUCCUCCUUCGGCUAUGUCUUUGAGAGGUAACCAAGCUGUGAGAAUUGGAUCUCCUUCACCCCCAACUCCACCUCCUCCUCCAACCCCACCUUUAAAGGACAAUUCAACUAUCAGAACUGCACCACCUCCACCCCCACCUCCUCCUGCAACCCCACCUUUGAAGGAAAAUUCAACCAUCAGAGCUGGACCUCCUCCGCCUCCGCCUCCUCUUCCUUCUAGGCAAGCUUCAGGGCCUGCAAUUUCUGCUUCAGUGCCCCCACCGCCACCUCCACUUGCCCCCAGUUCUUCAUCCAAGCUUCUUCAAACUGCACCAGAUAGUGCUUCAUGCGUCCCAUCUGCACCACCCCCUCCUUAUCCUUCCGUUAAGGGAAGUAUUGGAGAUCAGAGUUUGUCCAAGUCUCCCUCUCCUGCACCUCCAACUCCUGCUCCUCCUUUUAGUUCCCCAUCUGGUACAAAGGGACGAGGUUUGUCACGUCCUGUAAGUUCAAGAAAUAAUCAAACGAAGAAGUUGAAGCCAUUGCAUUGGUUGAAGUUGACAAGAGCAGUGCAAGGAAGUCUGUGGGCUGAGGCACAAAAAUCUGGCGAAGCUUCCAAGGCACCAGAGAUUGAUAUGUCAGAACUCGAGAGUCUUUUCUCAGCAGCUGUUCCAAAUUCAGAUCAAGGGGGAGCAGGCCGCAGAUCAGGUUCUCGUUCUUCACUUGGGCAGAAGCCUGAUAAAGUGCAACUGAUUGAACACAGGCGGGCAUAUAAUUGUGAAAUUAUGCUUUCAAAGGUCAAAGUACCAUUGCCCCAGUUGAUGAGUUCAGUGCUUGCCUUGGAGGAUUCAGCAUUAGAUGUUGACCAGGUGGAUAACCUCAUAAAGUUCUGUCCAACAAAAGAGGAGAUGGAGCUGCUUAAGGGCUACAAUGGAGAAAAGGAAAAGCUAGGAAAAUGUGAACAGUUUUUUUUGGAGUUAAUGCAAGUACCACGAAUAGAAUCUAAGCUAAGAGUUUUUUCAUUUAAGAUGCAGUUCCGUACCCAGGUUUCUGAUCUUAGAAAUAGCCUGAAUGUUGUCAAUUCAGCAGCAGAUCAGAUCAGGUGCUCUGUCAAAUUCAAAAGAGUUAUGCAGACAAUCCUUUCAUUAGGAAAUGCUUUGAAUCAGGGAACUGCCAGGGGCUCUGCUAUUGGGUUCAGGUUGGAUAGCCUCCUUAAACUUACUGAAACACGUGCCCGGAACAACAAGAUGACUCUCAUGCAUUAUCUUUGUAAGGUGCUUGCUGAUAAACUUCCUGAACUUCUUGAUUUUUCAAAAGAUCUUGCCAGCUUGGAAUCUGCGUCAAAGAUACAACUGAAAUUUUUGGCAGAGGAAAUGCAAGCCAUUAGCAAAGGACUGGAGAAAGUUGUACAGGAAUUGUCCAUGUCUGAAAAUGAUGGUCCUGUUUCAGAAGAAUUCUGUACGAUUUUGAAGGUGUUCCUUUCUUUUGCUGAAGCUGAAGUGAGGUCUUUGGCUUUACUUUAUUCUGGGGUGGGUAGAAAUGUUGAUGCCUUGAUUUUGUACUUUGGUGAAGAUCCAUCCCGUUGCACAUUUGAACAAGUUAUUUCUACCCUACUCAACUUUGUUAAAAUGUUUAAUCGUUCACAUGACGAGAACUGUAAGCAGCUGGAGCUUGACAAAAAGAAAGCCGAGAAAGAAUCAGAAAGUGAGAAGUUGAAGACACAUGCUUCACAGAAGAACUCUGAACACUUGUUACAAUCUCAAAUCAAGAGUAUCAAAUAAUUUGAUGAUGUUACUUUUCUCCUUCUGCUACUCUUUCUUUCUCUUCCUAAUGAAUAAAUAUUAUCGUCUGCUCGGUAAAAAGAAAUGCAGCUGGGAAAUAGGAGUGGGAGGGAUAGUGCGAGUGCGAGGAGUUUGUAUAUUUGGGCUGAGAUGUUAGGUGUAGAGUUGUAAAUGCCACAAUCUGUAGCAAAGUAGAGCCUCGAUCAUUAUUUCAACAGGGGAGUUAAUGCAAUCCGGUCGCAACUUGUAAAAUAUUUACUGACAUAUUGCAAAAGUAUUUAGUUCUUCCAUAUCAUCCUUUUGUGGUUUUUCUAUUUUGCAGCGUUUUCCUAAUUUUCAUAGUUAUCAUGUACAUUAUAAUCUCUCUCUCUCUCUCUCUCUCUUUCUCUCUCUCUCUCUGAGUUAACUUGGAGCAAUAUUUUUCUCUUCUUGAGUAUGGUUUCAGGGCAGCAAUUAGUUAUAUAGAAAAGGUUUUAUA